rnacentral:rRNA from 1 species
GACGAACGCUGGCGGCGUGCUUAACACAUGCAAGUCGAACGGAAAGGCCCUGCUUUUGUGGGGUGCUCGAGUGGCGAACGGGUGAGUAACACGUGAGUAACCUGCCCUUUACUUUGGGAUAACUUCAGGAAACUGGGGCUAAUACCGGAUAUGAGCUCCUUCUGCAUGGUGGGGGUUGGAAAGUUUCGGCGGUUGGGGAUGGACUCGCGGGUUAUCAGCUUGUUGGUGGGGUAGUGGCUUACCAAGGCUUUGACGGGUAGCCGGCCUGAGAGGGUGACCGGCCACAGUGGGACUGAGAUACGGCCCAGACUCAUACGGGAGGCAGCAGUGGGGAAUAUUGCACAAUGGGCGGAAGCCUGAUGCAGAAACGCCGCGUGCGGGAUGACGGCCUUCGGGUUGUAAACCGCUUUCGCCUGUGACGAAGCGUGAGUGACGGUAAUGGGUAAAGAAGCACCGGCUAACUACGUG